rnacentral:rRNA from 1 species
GCGGCGAGCGAAGCGGGAAGAGCCCAGCGCCGAAUCCCCGGGCCCCGACGGGCUCCGCGGGAACUGUGGCGUCAGGAAGUCCGGCCCCGCGGUCGCGGCGGCGCCGAGGUCCUUCUGAUCGAGGCCUCCUCCGUCCCAGGGCGGGUGUCAGGCCCCUGCGGGCGCCGGCCGGCCGCGGACCAGGGCUUCCGGGAGUCGGGUUGUUUUGUAGCGCAGCCCAAAGACGGGUGGUAAACUCCAUCCAAGGCUAAAUACCUGCACGAGACCGAUAGCGC